GGCAAUGUAGCAAAGUGGUUACUGCGAUUGACUAGAAAUCAAUUCCCUUCGGGGGCGUAGGUUCGAGUCCUGCCAUUGUCG
rfam:Rachicladosporium antarcticum strain CCFEE 5527 scaffold_10, whole genome shotgun sequence.